rnacentral:rRNA from 1 species
AUUGAACGCUGGCGGCAGGCCUAACACAUGCAAGUCGAGCGAGCGGCGGACGGGUGAGUAAUAUCUGGGAAACUGCCUGAUGGAGGGGGAUAACUACUGGAAACGGUAGCUAAUACCGCAUACCAUCAGAUGUGCCCAGAUGGGAUUAGCUAGUAGGGGGGGUAACGGCUCACCUAGGCGACGAUCCCUAGCUGGUCUGAGAGGAUGACCAGCAACACUGGAACUGCGACAUGGUCCAGACGCCUACGGGAGGCAGCAGUGGGGACUAUUGCAAAAUGGGUGAAAGUCUGAUGCAGCCAUGCCGCGUGUGUGAAGAAGGCCUUCGGGUUGUAAAGCACUUUCAGCGGGGAGGCGUUACCCGCAGAAGAAGCACCGGCUAACUCCGUGCCAGCCGCCGCGGUAAUAC